AUUGAACGCUGGCGGCAUGCCUUACACAUGCAAGUCGAACGGUAACGCGGGGCAACCUGGCGACGAGUGGCGAACGGGUGAGUAAUGCAUCGGAACGUGCCCAGUAGUGGGGGAUAGCCCGGCGAAAGCCGGAUUAAUACCGCAUACGACCUAUGGGUGAAAGCGGGGGACCGUAAGGCCUCGCGCUAUUGGAGCGGCCGAUGUCAGAUUAGGUUGUUGGUGGGGUAAAGGCCUACCAAGCCGACGAUCUGUAGCUGGUCUGAGAGGACGACCAGCCAGACUGGGACUGAGACACGGCCCAGGCUCCUACGGGAUGCAGCAGUGGGGAAUUUUGGACAAUGGGCGCAAGCCUGAUCCAGCCAUGCCGCGUGCGGGAAGAAGGCCUUCGGGUUGUAAACCGCUUUUGUCAGGGAAGAAACGCUCUGGGCUAAUACCCCGGGGUAAUGACGGUACCUGAAGAAUAAGCACCGGCUAACUACGUGCCAGCAGCCGCGGUAAAAC
rnacentral:rRNA from 1 species